AUGAAAAACCUCGACUAAUUUCUAGUCUCAACUGGAGUUGUCUGCCAAGAUGUGUCAUGGCCGACAAUACCUCGCCAUUAACAGGGUCAAGGAACAGCUGUCAAUAGAUGUAGUACUGAGAUAGUACUGAGUCGUCAAGAAUGAGUACCAAAUCUUCCUCUACAAGAAGCAGCUGUUACAGAACUCAUACGAUGACAAACAAGCCGAAUUAGAGGAGUGGAGAAUUACACCUCACUAUUGGACAAUGUACUGGCAGCAGAGAGAGAGAAGCUCAAGAAAUGGAAUUAGUGGAUUCAUCUUUAUCAUUUUGUGCUAGUUCAAUGGCAUUUUUUUUUUGGUAAAAUUUAAUACUAUAGCACAUUUAUUCAUUACUUACUGACAUAUUGAUGCUUGCUACUUUGAAACACAUCAUUUUGCAUUCGUGAAGAUUAAUGUGAUCACUAUAA